rnacentral:rRNA from 1 species
AUUGAACGCUGGCGGCAGGCCUAACACAUGCAAGUCGAGCGGAUGAAGGGAGCUUGCUCCUGGAUUCAGCGGCGGACGGGUGAGUAAUGCCUAGGAAUCUGCCUGGUAGUGGGGGAUAACGUCCGGAAACGGGCGCUAAUACCGCAUACGUCCUGAGGGAGAAAGUGGGGGAUCUUCGGACCUCACGCUAUCAGAUGAGCCUAGGUCGGAUUAGCUAGUUGGUGGGGUAAAGGCCUACCAAGGCGACGAUCCGUAACUGGUCUGAGAGGAUGAUCAGUCACACUGGAACUGAGACACGGUCCAGACUCCUACGGGAGGCAGCAGUGGGGAAUAUUGGACAAUGGGAGAAAGCCUGAUCCAGCCAUGCCGCGUGUGUGAAGAAGGUCUUCGGAUUGUAAAGCACUUUAAGUUGGGAGGAAGGGCAGUAAGUUAAUACCUUGCUGUUUUGACGUUACCAACAGAAUAAGCACCGGCUAACUUCGU